UACGGGGGGGGCAAGCGUUGUUCGGAAUUACUGGGCGUAAAGGGCUCGUAGGCGGCCAACUAAGUCCGACGUGAAAUCCCAAGGCUUAACCUUGGAACUGCGUCGGAUACUGGAUGGCUUGAAUUCGGGAGAGGGAUGCAGAAUUCCAGGUGUAGCGGUGAAAUGCGUAGAUAUCUGGAGGAACACCGGUGGCGAAGGCGCCCACCUGGCCUGCUACUGACGCUGAAGCUCGAAAGCUAGGGGAGCAAACGGG
rnacentral:rRNA from 1 species